rnacentral:lncRNA from 11 species
CUCAGCAAUACUUAUGCCUGAGUUCUCAUAAGGAUUAAAAAUUACCCGACAGUGAUCUAGGGUCCAGUCGAGAGGCGAAGCUGAGGGGGUGUUCUGUUCUUUCUCUGGCUCCUGUAUUUUGACUAUGGGAGAGAAGAAAGAGUGUAAAGUAUUUUUAAUGAAAAGGAUUGACUUGAGUGACAGCUGAGUGCCACAAUGGAAAGGGCAACCCUGCAUGGCGCAUGACUGAAAUUGGCUGCCGCUGUGAUUUAGUAAGAUUUCCUCCCUUCUGCCAGGAAGUGGAUAUUGUAACUCACAAAAGCCUGGAAACAUCAAUAGAGGAAGCCCACAUUCUAGACAUAAUUACACAGCUACAACAGAAAAUAUAUGGAACCAUGGACUGUUGAAAAGAUACAAAUAUGGCUCUGAAAGUAAAUCAGCUUUUAACUUUCUCAAGAAUAUUUCUGAAAUGGCAAAAUGUAAAAUGGAUGUAACGUGAGAUGAUAUUACUCUUUUUUUUAAACCAAUAUUGCUUGAACCAGUUUGAAAGGCUACAAUAUUGUCUUUCUGUUUGUAUCUCUUUUUUAUUAUAUGGAUCCACAUGCUUGUUUAUAGAGUAAAUAAACUUGAUCUGUUAUCUAAG